UACGUAGGGGGCAAGCGUUGUCCGGAAUUAUUGGGCGUAAAGGGCGCGUAGGCGGCUUGGCAAGUCAAAGGUGAAAUCCCUCGGCCUAACCGAGGAACUGCCUUUGAAACUGCUUGGCUUGAGGCCGGGAGAGGGUAGCGGAAUUCCCAGUGUAGCGGUGAAAUGCGUAGAUAUUGGGAGGAACACCAGUGGCGAAGGCGGCUACCUGGACCGGUUCUGACGCUGAGGCGCGAAAGCGUGGGGAGCAAACAGG
rnacentral:rRNA from 1 species